GGACCCGGUGGCCCGGCGGCCACCGGGUCCUCGCACGUCCCGGCCGUGCGGCCGCCCGGCCCGGCCGGUCCCCGCGGCCCGUGCCCC
rnacentral:tRNA from 1 species